rnacentral:lncRNA from 1 species
UUUAAGCUUCUUAGAUUAUUGCAUUAGUAAUUAUUAGGGAGACUACGAAUAGUAAACUAGUAAUUAUGGUAAUAGGCUCUUUUCACCGAGGAAUUUGGUUUAGAGUAAUAUAGAAAGUUGCAUGAACAUUGAUAAUAAAGCGAAUUUAAUAAGAAUAGUAGAUAUAAGAGAGUGCAUAAGGAUGAAAUUGUAAACCUCAACAACUCUAUUCAUCUAUAUCUUAAUUUGCCAAUUGAUCAAGUUUUCAUUUGCAAGUUUAAAUUUGGUUUUUGCAUUACAACUACAAAUUAUUCUUCUUUCAAGUCUUAUGCAAUCAAUUCGCA